UUCGUCAUAUAAAUAUAUAUAUAUAUAUAUAUAUAUAUAUGCAUAAAUCCAGUUUGGUCAUUUUUUUUUUAAUUUAUUAAUUUACCUAUACGCUCUAUUUAUGAAUCCGUUCACUCCUUUUUAAUUAUUCGCUCGUUUGUUCAUUUUUUUAUUUUAUUUUUUUCAGUUAGCAAAACAGCAGCUAAAAAUAAAGCAAAUGUUCAAGAGAAAGAGAAAGAGACAGCAAUUUCUAAGGCGCAAGAAGUUAAGCCUGAAUUGAGUAAUAUAUCCAUUGGUGAUGACAUAUCGAAAGAUUUUAUAGGUAUAUAUAUAUGUGUAUGUAUGUAUGUAUGUAUGUAUGUAUGUAUGUAUGUGUGUAUAUGUACAUAUGUAUAUAUUUCGCCCGUUUCGUUUGUUCAUAUUUUAAAUCAGAAUCGGAUAAACAAAUCAUAAGCAACAUAACAGCUAGUAUAUGUGAUGAAAAAAGGAAGUUUAACAAUCAUUUAAUUAUUAACACACUCGAUUUGUCACUAGUCGUGUAUAAUAAAAUUGUUCGUCAUUUUUUACUUGGAAGCUUAAAAAGUAGUCAGACAUGUUUUGAUAAUACAAAUUUAAGGAGGACUGAUGAGCCUCAUGAUUUUUUCGGAGGUAACAAGAAAAAAAGGAAAAUAAAAAUAAGUAAAUGUUUAAAUAAAUUUGCGAUUAAUAAAAAAAUAUAUAAUGCAUAUUGUACGAAGAAUGCAUAUUUUUUACUUAUCCUAUGUUUAUAUAUUUAUUUAUUUAUUUAUCUAUUUAUAUACUCGUUUGCUCAUUUAUUCACCUGUUUGUUUAUAUUUUUUUAGUUAAUAUUAGCAAACAUGUGACUAGCUUUGAUGAUUUAAAAAAAAAUUAUGUAUAAUUUGAAGCGGAUAUUAUACAAACUUGUGCAUAUGUAUGGAUGUAAUAACACAAAAGUAAAAGAAUAAAAGAUGCGAGUAUAAAUAUAAGUAACGUAUU
rnacentral:lncRNA from 1 species